rnacentral:rRNA from 1 species
CAGUCGCCACGGUAAUACGAAGGGGGCUAGCGUUGUUCGGAUUUACUGGGCGUAAAGCGCACGUAGGCGGACUUUUAAGUCAGGGGUGAAAUCCCGGGGCUCAACCCCGGAACUGCCUUUGAUACUGGAAGUCUUGAGUAUGGUAGAGGUGAGUGGAAUUCCGAGUGUAGAGGUGAAAUUCGUAGAUAUUCGGAGGAACACCAGUGGCGAAGGCGGCUCACUGGACCAUUACUGACGCUGAGGUGCGAAAGCGUGGGGAGCAAACAGGAUUAGAUACCCGCGUAGUCCCUGUCUCUUAUAC